rnacentral:rRNA from 1 species
UACGAAGGAUGCAAGCGUUAUCCGGAUUUAUUGGGUUUAAAGGGUGCGUAGGCGGACUUAUAAGUCAGGCGUGAAAGCCCCGGGCUCAACCCGGGAACAGCGCUUGAGACUGGGGGGCUUGAGUUCGGGAGAGGAGAGUGGAAUUCCCAGUGUAGAGGUGAAAUUCGUAGAUAUUGGGAAGAACACCGGUGGCGAAGGCGGCUCUCUGGACCGACACUGACGCUGAGGCGCGAAAGCGUGGGGAGCAAACAGG